CCUACGGGUGGCAGCAGUGAGGAAUAUUGGUCAAUGGACGAGAGUCUGAACCAGCCAAGUAGCGUGAAGGAUGACUGCCCUAUGGGUUGUAAACUUCUUUUAUAUGGGAAUAACAUGUUCCACGUGUGGGAUUUUGUAUGUACCAUAUGAAUAAGGAUCGGCUAACUCCGUGCCAGCAGCCGCGGUAAUACGGAGGAUCCGAGCGUUAUCCGGAUUUAUUGGGUUUAAAGGGAGCGUAGGUGGAUUGUUAAGUCAGUUGUGAAAGUUUGCGGCUCAACCGUAACAUUGCAGUUGAAACUGGCAGUCUUGAGUACAGUAGAGGUAGGCGGAAUUCGUGGUGUAGCGGUGAAAUGCUUAGAUAUCACGAAGAACUCCGAUUGCGAAGGCAGUUCACUGGACUGCAACUGACACUGAGGCUCGAAGGUGUGGGUAUCAAACAGGAUUAGAUACCCUAGUAGUC
rnacentral:rRNA from 1 species